GAAUAAAUCUGGCGUAGGUUGUAGCUGGCUCUCUGGAGCAUGUGCACACCUCGUCACCUUUAUCUUUCCACCUGUGCACACACUGUAGUCCUGGAUACCUCUCGCUGAAAGGCGGAUGCGGAGGCUGCUGUUGCCUUUAAAAUGGCUCAGCUUCCUCUGAAUUUCCAGGUCUAUGCCCUUUUAAAACACCCCAAACGAAUGUUACAGAAUGUAAUCAACGGGCCUUUGUGCCUAUAAACCUAAUACAACUUUCAACAACGGAUCUCUUGGCUCU
rnacentral:misc_RNA from 1 species